rnacentral:lncRNA from 1 species
UCUCACACCCCCCUCUCUAGUCCGCCUUCACGUGGGGUGCGGGGCAGGAGGGAGGGGGCAGGGGAGGGUGGGGGUGGGGUGGGGUGGGGUGGGGUGGGGGGGAGACGAGGGGGAGGAGGAGGUGGGGAAGCCGAGAAAUGCCCACCUUCUCCGGCCGACUCGGGGGCACCGCAGCCCCUGCGGCGGCGGCCGCUGCAAGAGCCUCCCGGGCGCCGUGCACCGGCCGAGGCGGCGCGGAGCGGGGGCCGCCGUCCCCUCGCCGCCCCCGAGCCCCGAGCCCCGAGCUCAGGGUCGCUCAAGCCUGUCCCCUCCCGGCCCCGCCGGCCCCGCUCGGCCCUCCCCGCCCGCGCCCCGCGGACCCUUUCAAACCCCCUGGGCUCGCGGCGGCUGUUCCGUGAGCAGACGCUGGCCGCGGCCGGGGCCGGGGCGGCGAGGCUCGGAGCGGGGCGGCGGGGCGCCCGGUACGGUGAGCCCAGCAACGGGGCGCGGGCGGGCGCGCAGGGACGCCGGGUCCUCGCGGAGCACGGCCGGGGCGCGGCGGCGGCGGCGGCGGGAGCGCAGGGACCGCUCCAUCACUGGCAGCCAUGGAGCCCGAGCAUUUUCCUCCCUCGGGGCAGGCGCCUCGGCUCGGCACGCGUCCUCGGGGAGGAAGGGGCCGGCGCCCGGGCCUCCCCGGGGGGCGGCGGCGGGCUGCGAGCCGCUCGGCUCCUCGUCCUCGUCCCCGUCCUCGUCCUCGUCCUCGCGGGCGGCUCCUUCCUCGGCGGCGCUGGGGGCCAGACGGGCUGGUGCAAGCGACUGCAGCCGACGCCGUUCAAAGGAACGGGAGCAACAGCAUCACGAGUUGCAGUUCCCAGGAGCCCGCCGCCACCGCCACGACACGACAUGAGUCAGGCUUUCUUCCUAGGCGCGUGGCGGAGCCCUCCUCCUCCCACCACCACCCCCCUCCCUCCCCGCUGCACCUGGGCGCGCCCCCGGCCCCCUGCAGGCGGAGCUCGCCCACCCCCCACCCCCCCGCCCCCGCGCUCCUGCGCCCCGAGCUCCGCGGACCGCGCCAGGCCCCAGCGCCUCCUAGAUAGGGGCUGCCUUUUGUGCAGUGCGGUGGUGACUGCCAUGCGGUCCCCUCGCCCUUCGACGGGCCGGGGUGCGCCAGCCCCGGCAGCUGUUGCAGCUGUUGCAGCUGCUGCAGCUGCUUGCUCUUAG